UACGUAGGGUGCGAGCGUUAAUCGGAAUUACUGGGCGUAAAGCGUGCGCAGGCGGUGAUGUAAGACCGAUGUGAAAUCCCCGGGCUUAACCUGGGAACUGCAUUGGUGGCUGCAUUGCUGGAGUAUGGCAGAGGGGGGGUGGAAUUCCACGUGUAGCAGUGAAAUGCGUAGAGAUGUGGAGGAACACCGAUGGCGAAGGCAGCCCCCUGGGCCAAUACUGAC
rnacentral:rRNA from 1 species